rnacentral:lncRNA from 1 species
UUUGGCAGAAUCUGUGAAUUCCUCACAAGCACAUUUCACAAGCUCCUAUCUCUUUACUGGGCAGCUUUGACUGGCUCUCAGGCAUGGAAUCUACUUCCCUUUUGUGUUUACCUGGACUGGAUAUUAACUCAAACAUGGGGCCAUUUUCAUUUGACAGCAAUACAUUCCUGGUUUUGUGCCCCUCACAGGGGCAGACAUUUAAAUAGACUUGGACUUCAAACCAUCCAACUACAGUUGUUCCUUUUUCCUGCCAUGGGAGAACUCCUACAACCAUCGACAUCAGGACAAAUCCCCAGCCACAAGAGCCCAGAUCCAAACCAUUCAGCUUUUCAGCCAAUCAGGGGAAGACAUGGGUGCUUUGAAUGGCUGCAAAAGUAAAUAAAAUGCUCUGUAUACAUGUUUUAAGUCAGUUCCUUUGAGAGCGCAGACUUUGUACUAACAUUAUUUCUGUUCAUUUUACCUUCAAAUCUAGUUCAUAUCUUGAUAUGGCCUUUAGAGUAGUGAAGCACGCCAGGUUUUGAACCCACGGUUUAGCUGUUAGUUGAAAUCACUAAACUGUUUGGUGAACAUUGAGUUCAAAAUGCAAAAGUAGUUAACUAAGAGUGCAUCUACACUGUCAAAUUAAUGCAAUUUGAUACCGAUUUAACUGUCUUGGCUCUAUGCUAUGGAACCCUGGGAUCUGUAGUUUGGUAAGGCAUCAGUGUCCUUUGGUAGAGAAGGCUAAAGACCACAUAAAACUGCAAUUCUCAUGCUGCCAUAACAACACAUGACACCAUUAUUGCACCUCAAUUGUCAUGGCUGUAGAACCCUGGAAUUUGCAGUUUGGUGAGGCACUGGAAUACUUCUCUGCUGAGGCUUCUAAAUGCUCUCCUGAAAUUGCAAAUUCCAGGAUUCCAUAAGAUGUUGCUAUACUAAUUAGAGUGGAAUCAUAGUUAUGUAAUAAUGUAGUUAUGAAAAGGCUUCAUCUUGUCACUAUACCCCAUUUAUUGCAGUGAGUUCAACGCAAAGGAGUCUGCACUAGUAGUCUGUGAAAAUAGAAAUAUGUACGUGGAGACUUUGUACAUUGCAACAAAGACACCCCUUCCACCUAUUGCUGUUCAGAAAGCAAAGGAAGUCAACAGAUUCCUUAACAAUUAACACUUUCCAGGGCUGGUCUUGUGGGAGAUAUGACGCCCCUGUGUUGGAGAGAGGCCCAAACCAUUU